CCCUUAGAUGUCCUGGGCCGCACGCGCGUUACACUGAUGCAUUCAACGAGCUUAUAACCUUGGCCGAGAGGCCUGGGCAAUCUUGUUAACGUGCAUCGUGAUAGGGAUAGAUUAUUGAAAUUAUUAAUCUUGAACGAGGAAUUCCUAGUAAACGCGGAUCAUCAAUCUGCAUUGAUUACGUCCCUGCCCUUUGUACACACCGCCCGUCGCACCUACCGAUUGGAUGGUCCGGUGAAGCCUCGGGAUUGUGGUUCUUGCCGCUUUAUUGUGGCGUGACCGCGAGAACUUGUCUAAACCUUAUCAUCUAGAGGAAGGUGAAGUCGUAACA
rnacentral:rRNA from 1 species